GUUUUUAUAGUUGAAGACAACAGUAAUUUUUCAGAUUUCAGGUCUAGGUUAAAGCCCUAGUAAAAACU
rnacentral:tRNA from 1 species